rnacentral:rRNA from 1 species
UACGUAGGGAGCAAGCGUUGUCCGGAAUCAUUGGGCGUAAAGCGCGCGUAGGCGGCCCCGUAAGUCCGCUGUGAAAGUCAAAGGCUCAACCUUUGAAAGCCGGUGGAAACUGUGGGGCUAGAGUCCGGAAGAGGCGAGUGGAAUUCCUGGUGUAGCGGUGGAAUGCGCAGAUAUCAGGAGGAACACCAAUAGCGAAGGCAGCUCGCUGGGACGGUACUGACGCUAAGGCGCGAAAGCGUGGGGAGCGAACGGGG